GUAUAGUAGUGCGUGUGCACAACAGUAAUUUCAUUACAUUCGAGUUUGUGUAAAAAUCCUCUGCCGGCCGAAGCUAGCAAGAGGCCAAAGGUUCACAGGGUAUUGGAUGAAAGUCACCGACGUGCACAUGCCGAAGCCGGCCAGCACUGACGGCGACGAUUCGCAAUCAAUAAUGAUCCUUCCGCAGGUUCACCUACGGAAA
rnacentral:misc_RNA from 1 species